UGGGGAAUAUUGGACAAUGGGGGAAACCCUGAUCCAGCGACGCCGCGUGGGUGAAGAAGGCCUGCGGGUUGUAAAGCCCUUUCGGUAGGGACGAAAGCCUCCGACCUAACACGUCGGAGGGUUGACUUAACCUACAGAAGAAGCACCGGCUAACUCUGUGCCAGCAGCCGCGGUAAUACAGAGGGUGCGAGCGUUAAUCGGAAUUACUGGGCGUAAAGCGCACGUAGGCGGCUUGGUAUGUCGGGUGUGAAAUCCCCGGGCUCAACCUGGGAACUGCAUCCGAAACUGCCUUGCUCGAGUAUGGGAGAGGGAAGUGGAAUUUCCGGUGUAGCGGUGAAAUGCGUAGAUAUCGGAAGGAACAUCAGUGGCGAAGGCGACUUCCUGGACCAAUACUGACGCUCAGGUGCGAAAGCGUGGGGAGCAAACAGG
rnacentral:rRNA from 1 species